GGGGAAUAUUGAACAAUGGGCGCAAGCCUGAUCCAGCCAUGCCGCGUGAGUGAUGAAGGCCCUAGGGUUGUAAAGCUCUUUCACCGGUGAAGAUAAUGACGGUAACCGGAGAAGAAGCCCCGGCUAACUUCGUGCCAGCAGCCGCGGUAAUACGAAGGGGGCUAGCGUUGUUCGGAAUUACUGGGCGUAAAGCGCACGUAGGCGGACUGGUCAGUUAGGGGUGAAAUCCCGGGGCUCAACCCCGGAACUGCCUUUAAUACUGACAGUCUAGAGUCCGAGAGAGGUGAGUGGAAUUCCGAGUGUAGAGGUGAAAUUCGUAGAUAUUCGGAGGAACACCAGUGGCGAAGGCGGCUCACUGGCUCGGUACUGACGCUGAGGUGCGAAAGCGUGGGGAGCAAAC
rnacentral:rRNA from 1 species